CGCUCCGGUGGUCUAGUGGUAAAACGUCCACCUUAGAUAGGGGGAGGUCACAGGCUCGAAACCCGGCCGAGUGA